UGACUGAAUCUUUGAAGACUGAGG
rnacentral:piRNA from 1 species